rnacentral:rRNA from 1 species
AUUGAACGCUGGCGGCAUGCUUUACACAUGCAAGUCGAACGGGGUGAGGAGCUUGCUCCUCAUCUAGUGGCGAACGGGUGAGUAAUACAUCGGAACGUACCGUGUAGUGGGGGAUAACGUAGCGAAAGUUACGCUAAUACCGCAUACGAUCCACGGAUGAAAGCAGGGGACCUUCGGGCCUUGUGCUAAUACGAGCGGCCGAUGCCUGAUUAGCUAGUUGGUGGGGUAAAGGCCCCACCAAGGCAACGAUCAGUAGCGGGUCUGAGAGGAUGAUCCGCACACUGGGACUGAGACACGGCCCAGACUCCUACGGGAGCAGCAGUGGGGAAUUUUGGACAAUGGGCGCAAGCCUGAUCCAGCCAUGCCGCGUGUCUGAAGAAGGCCU